CUACGGGGGGCACCAGUGAGGAAUUUUGCGCAAUGGGCGAAAGCCUGACGCAGCAAUGCCGCGUGGAGGAUGACGGCCUUCGGGUUGUAAACUCCUUUUGUAAGUGAAGAAUUUUGACAGUAACUUACGAAUAAGUCACGGCUAACUACGUGCCAGCAGCCGCGGUAAUACGUAGGUGGCGAACGUUAUCCGGAAUUAUUGGGCGUAAAGGGUCCGCAGGUGGUUUUGCAAGUUAAGUAUUAAAGCCCUCGGCUUAACCGAGGAAUCGUACUUAAAACUGCAUCACUAGAGUGUGCUAGAGGUUAGUGGAAUUCUGGGAGUAGGGGUAAAAUCCGUUGAUACUCAGAGGAACACCAAUUGCGAAGGCUACUAACUGGAGCAUUACUGACACUCAGGGACGAAAGCGUGGGUAGCGAACAGGAUUAGAUACCCUAGUAGUC
rnacentral:rRNA from 1 species